GCAUCACUGCCUGGCGGGCUGCGAGCGAAGUCUCUGGAUGACGCGAAACUCUAGCGGCAAGCAAGCCGCGACUCUUCCAUUUUACCAAGUUCCCUUACUCCCUGCCGAAAGAUGGUGCGACAUAGACAGACAUCGGAUUAGGGGCAUCGGUGACGUGUUGCGAUAAGAAUAGAGCCCUAGAUACAGCGACAAGAGGCUUUGGCCGCCUCGCGUGCAGCUGUCGCGCCGAAUGUGAAGCAGCGGCGCUGGUGUGCGGCCUGCUGCGUGGACGACAGGGCUGACCAACGCACAGAGGGGGGCCCGCGCCGCUGUUGCUACGGGCGCGCUCUCCCUCCGCUUGGCACCCGGCACGGGCCCCGCAGCGGUGGGGGAGGGCAUGCGGCGGACGUAUCUGGGCACAAGUGCUGGCGCUGCCGGCCCGUCGCGUGCGCCUCUCAUUUCAGUCUGCCUGUGGCCAUUGCGGAUGGGCGCACCACGGCGAGGUUGGCAGGCUUGCCGGAUCGGCAGUGGCAGAGGAGCCGGCGCCGACUGCGUGGAUCACGCGCCUGGUCGCCGGCCUCAGACGCCAGGCCGACAUCGCCCGAAACCGCGAUACACGAUGCGGCACGCUGAGACAAGAGGUGCUUGGCGGCAGCCGUCCCACACCAGAGGAGCAGGGAUUCUGAGCUCACGAUACGACGGGCGGCCAUCCUCGCACAGGUCCGCGCGGGCACCCCGUCCAUGCACUGGGGAUCGCUGCAGCGGCGGGUGCCUGGCAGCGACGAGGCGGAGCGCGGAUGGCGUGCUGCCCGCUGCUCCGCUGGUGUUGCGGCGCCCCCCGCCCCCGCCGGAGCCUCCACCCCCGCCGGUGCUGGCCAUGAGGGCGUCACAUCGAAAGAAAGAGUGCAGAGGUGAGAGAGCAAGAGUGAUGGACGGAAGGGGCGCGAAGAAAUCCCAUAGCAGUGAGCCCCACAGCGCAUGUGUGCAUAACAUGCGGCAUCUUCGGCAUCUGUCCAGGGCUGCACUGAUGAGGCACAGAUGCCGGAAGCAUCACGAGAGCAGCCCGAGCUGCACCAUCCGGGCCCUCCCGACUCCCCAUGCGGAGGGUCUCCAUAUUAUGGGAUGCCGCGGCGUGAAGCGACCGAGGGCGAAGCAUGGCACGCAGGCAGGGGGUGCGCAGGGCCACCGAGGACCCUGUCCUGAGGCUGGCCAACGUCCUCCUCGAGCUCAUCCGGCAUGUCGCCUUGACCACUCCCCUAUUACCCGCACGACAGACGCCACCGCCUCCGCCCUCGAGCAGGAGCAUGGGCGCGGCCCGCGUUGGAUCAGGCCAUGCAACUCACCCAUGUCCGUGGGACGCCCGCCGCGCAGCACGCACCCGAGGAAGGGACGAGCAAGGACAGGAAGUGCCCGUGCGGCGUAUGGCCCGAUGCGAAGGCAGGCGGCUCGUCCUAGACGCCCAGGAUGCAGCUGUAACCCCCCCCCCCCCCCUACAGAGACGGGUGGGCUGCGGUUGUAUGCGCCUAUCGGAGGACUCGCUCGCGGUGGAGUCACGCACUUUGAAGAAUUUUUGUGAUCCACCCAUAUGCGUUUCAAUUUUGUUCUUGGCCUGAGUUCCGGUCACAGUAGCGUCAUCUUGUACAUGCACAUCACUACAUAUGUACAUAUGAGUGUCUUUGUUUUUUUUUUGUGCGUGUAUGUGUGUUCUUCGGCGUUCUGGUGCGAUUUUUUUAGUCAAUAGGCGGUGGAUCCCUUUUUUCGUGUUGUUCUUGGUGGGAGAAAUGCCUUCCGAGCCUCUUCGUGCUUUUGGUUCUCCUCCUCCCCAUUUACUCCAUGACGCUCUUUUUUUUUUCUUGAUGUGGGGCUGUGGGCGUUCUCCGGCGCUGAUGUCUUCUUGUGGCUCUUCGAUGGAGACCGGCGAUGGUGCUAUCUGCAAGGGGGUCACUUCCGACUUCAGCCGUUGCAAAUGGGGCGACGCUUGUACUGGAGACAGGCAAUGGGACAGACGAAAUAGCGAAAACCAAAUGUAGAGGGAGUAGGGAGGCGGCGGGGGUUCCACGAAAGGUAAAAAAGCUGUGUAAGCGGAGUCUACGCUUCCGACUUCUCUGGUCGUAACGAAUACGGGGCAGCGCCGUCCUCAUCUCUCAGGGACAGCUGUCUCUAAAUAAACGAACGCACGAAGACAAACUUUUUCCCUUUUUCGUGUUCUGUUGUGCGCUCUUAGAGUCCCUCAAAAGGCGUAUGUUGGCUAGCUGGAAGCGAGCGCCAUGCAGUGUGUUAGAGAGUGAACGGGAUCCGCGUGCGACGCAGGACAUUUUAAGGCUUAGACUGAAAGAAUAGGCAGAGCAUGUAGGGAGGGGCUGAAGAAAACAGAGUGGCUGCGUGUCCGCUGCAACUUUUAGACGUUUUAUUAUUAUUAUUAUUGGUCAGCCCUCUCGUUUCGCUUCCUGUUUUUUUUUUCUUUUUCUUCGCCCCACCCUCUCCUCUUCUCGUUCUCUAAGCCAAUUCUCCCUCGUGUUUAUUUCCACUGGACGCAUCAAACCGCGGCGAUUCUUUGUGUGCCUCUGUUUUCUUUGCUCGUCCUCUUUUUUUUCCCAUAUAUUGUUCUUAUUAUCCUCUCACCCUCUCGCUCUCUCCGACUCUCUCUCUGUCUCGCUUCUCUCUACUGUCGAUCUCUUCUUCUUUUUCGCAUGCGUGGCGUGCCUGUGUGCGUGUGUUCUACCUAUAUACAUGUAUGUUGUACUUUACUUGACGUGGCAUAAGGGAAACGAAGCAGGCAAGGAGUGAAGGCGGGGGUAACGAAAACCGGAGGAGAGCAUAGGUAUUUACCUUUUUGGAAUGCGCUAGCAAGCAUACAAGAAGGUGUGCGCGUGUGUGUGUGUCAGAAGGUGUGCUUGUUUGGCUGUGCGUGAGAGUACGUGUCUUUGCUCUAUUUGCGUACAUGCUGUCAUCAGCCUAUGUGUCAUCUCUUUAUCUCUUCCCGUCUACGUGUUGUGCGCGCGUGUGCUUUCGGCUUAUGGGCUCCGUCUCCUCUGUCCCAUGCUGCUGCUCCUGUCGUUUCUGUUUAAAGUUUGGCUCGCUGGAUUUUUUUUUAUCCUUUUCUACGUGCAUGAGACACUCGCUUUUACCCAUACAUGUACACCUACCUGCAGGCACACUCGCACGUGUCUUCGUGGCUCUUCGUUUCUCUUUAUGUGCUUUUCGAGGGAAGAGGGAGGCUGGCUUUCCUUGCCCGAGUCGUCCGUUGUUCGCGCUCUCGCGCUUUUCUUUCACUCCCUUUUCAUUGAACUUUGUGUGGUAGGGUGCAAUGGCGGCGGUAGCACUCCAGCGCAGACAGACAGCCCGACGGUCAGCCACACACGCCUAUACUCCAACAAGCGUAGUGGAAUACCAACAACCUCUGUUUUCUUGCAGAUACUCGAACACGCAUGUAAGCACUCUUUCGCCCACAUUCAUGCACAUUAAAAUACGCAGCGGCAGCUCAAAAGACAAACGGCAAAAACGAAGAGAUGAAACAAUAUAGGCAAGCGAGACGCACUACAAGAGUGACGAGGAGCCAAUGCCAUUGUCGUAUGAAUGGUACGGGGCGCUGCUGCUGCCCUCUUUUUGGAAAAGGUCAAGCCUGCGGCGGCCCCUCUUUCAAUCGUCUGGGGUCGACUCUUUCCGCUGCCUUCUUCAUGUGUAUUGGGAGAGGAGAUACGCGAGAGAAGCUCACCCCCUAGGCCGGAACCUGAAGGAGCGGCAACAGGGAUCGGAAGACCACUUCACGGCUGUGCUUCUUUCCACGAAGGACCUAUGACGUCGGUACCGAGGAGCUGGGGAGAGCGAAAGACGCGGAUUUGGCGCCACCUGACCUGCGCUCUCUGUUUUCCAUUCGCCACUUCAAAAGAAACGCGCCGCGGCAUCUGCGGCGCCAUCCGCGGGUGGCCUGUGAACCUUCACCCCUCUCCGACUCUCCCCCCUCUGGGGAUUGUGUCUCUCUCUCUACGCUCUCGCCGGCAAUGCCUGGUUCUUUUUCUCUACCACUCUUCCUUCUUGUUGCCUCUUUGCUUCCUUGCCUCUCUCUUCGCGGUGCACUACGCCAAAG
rnacentral:misc_RNA from 1 species